rnacentral:lncRNA from 1 species
CAUGUGGAAGUUCCCAGGCCAGGGACUGAACCUAUGCCACAACUGCAACCUGAGCCACAGCAGUGAAAAUAGAGGAUUUUUAAACAGUUGAGACACAAGGGAGCUCCCAAGACUUUCUUGAGUUUAUGGUUCUCAGAGGAGCAGAGGAGAUUAUCAGCAUAUUGAACAAGUAGAUCCCUGAGAGAAAACUACAUUAGCCAAAUACUGCUUAAGUAUUUGGGAGAAGUAGGAUGGAUUUUCAGUAUAGCCUUGGGCAUAAUAGUACAGGUGUGUUGUCAGUCUUACCAAGUGAAAGCAAAAGGAUAUUGACUUUGAGUCAAUAGGCAUCCUUAAAAAACGCAUUACAUAAAUCUCUAACAGUAAAGAAGGCUCUAUCUAUAGGAAUGGAAUUAAGGAUUGUUUAUGGAUUAGGCACAAUGGAAUGACAAUAUUGUUGAUAGCUCUAAGGUCUUCAAUGAACUUCCAUUCCUGCCCAUUCGGUUUACAGGUGGAAGGAUUGGAGUGUUAUAGGGAUUAGUAUAAGGAAUAAUUAGGCCCUUGGCAAUGUGUGCCUCUGUUACAGGAUGAAUUCCUUCAAGGGCCUCUAUUCUUAGAGGAUAUUGCUUAGUAUUAGGUAGCGGUUUGGAAGCAGCCACCUGAAUUUUAAUGGAUGGAGUUGAAUGAAUAUCAUUAAAAAAUUGUGACCACAUUAGGAGACACAGAUUCUAACAACUUACUAUUGGUUUGAUUGGCUGUUACAAUACUGGAAUUCUAAAUUCCACUCAUUACGUAGAUGAAUUAUCAGAAAUGUUCCGUAUCUCAAGAUUAAUCAGAUCCUUAAGGGAAAAGGAGAUACUGGCCUUGAAUUUUUCUGAAAGAUCUCACUCUAUUAACUGUGCUGGGAAAGAAGGUCCAAGGAGAAAUUGAAGUAAUCCUUAUAAGGGGGCUAUGUCAAAGAAGAGAGACUUUCAUACUUUCAUAGAAACCCCUGAAUUUUAAUUUUUCUUACUGUAUAAGAAGAGGUAAUGAAAUUGGCAGUCUCAUUGUACAAAUGAGUCUUGUUGCAUUUGUCACUAGUCAUAGAAAUAUUUUCAUAAGUAUAAGAAAAUUUAAACCCUUACUUUAACUGUGAUUGUAUGAAAACACUAUAAACUUUUCAUCAAAGACAUAUUGCAGACUGUGUCCCAAGAAGUGCUUACAACUUACCUAAACAUGCUUGGUUUCCUUCUUUGCCCACAGUGAGAAAUAUCUCCAAUUGCUCAUCACUCUCAAUGUGGGAAUGGUAACCUCUAACCAUCAUCUAAUUUUAUGAUUCUUCCCAUUUUACAAAAGAGAAAAAAACCAAAAAGCAGAUAUCAUCCUGCAUAAGUCCAAAAGUAGACAUUUUAAUCUAUUUUUAUUAAAGGAAGAUGAGCCAGAACUAACAUUUUGAAUCUAUGACUAAUCAGACCACUUACCCACUCACCUGACCUUUCAACAGCAAAGCAAAGACAGAUACUCAUAGUCUCAUAUUCAUUCUCAGGCUCUUUAAUCUUUGCCCUCUAAACAAACCUCCUAGGGGCUACUCCAGUGAGUUUUCUAAAAAUAUAAACCAAAUCAUGUUUUUCUCUGGCUUAAAACACUCCACCUGACCAAAGUGUCAUUUGCAUGGUAUUUUAAGGCUAUUCAUAACCUGGUCUCUGCCAAUAGCCUUACCCAGGCAAGACUACCUCUUUGGAAAAUGAGCUCCUUGUGUGUAUGGUGCUGUCUUCUCAUACACCAGUUAUUAAAAUGGAUGGUUUUGAAAUUAAUAAGUGAAUAAGCAAAUGAAGGAACUCUUUAUAAGUAGUUUUGGACACUCUGGAUAACCCUUUGAGAUAUCCUUGAUGGGAUGGAGACUACAGUUGAUUUUUUUUUUUUUUUUUGGUCUUUUUGCUAUUUCUUGGGCUGUUCCUGCGGCAUAUGGAGGUUCCCAGGCUAGGGGGGAAGCCUUAAAAAUCCAAAUAAAUAAAUAAAUAAAACAGGGUUAGAUCUUCAUAAACGCAUUGUAAGAAAAUAUCAGAAGUUGAAAUUGGGUUGUGAUGAUCGUUGUACAACUAUAAAUGUAAUAAAAUCCAUUAAGUAAUUUAAAAAAUAAAUAAAUAAAAAAGAAAAUAUCAGAAGCUGAAAAUGCAUCAUAUACUGUAACCUACUAACAUCAUAGCUUGGCCUCACCUACCUUAAAUAUGCUCAGAACACUAACAUUAGUCUCCAGUUGGAAAAAUUAUCUAACACAAAGCUUGUUUUAUAACAAAGUGUUGAAUAACUUAUGUAAUUUAUUGAAUGCUAUACUGAAAGUAAGAAACAAUAUUUGGGUACAGAAGGGUUGUAAAUGUAUUGGGUGUUUACCCUUGUGAUCAUGUGGCUGACUGGAUACUGCAGGUGGCUCCGGCUGCCCAGCAACACAAAAGAAUACAGUUAGUUGGCAUAUCACCAGGCACUUCAAAAGUGACCUUUGCUAGUUACCUGUUAAAUUUGCUGGGAACACUGUAACUUGACUCUGGCUGUUCUUUGUUUUUCU